CCUACGGGUGGCAGCAGUGGGGAAUAUUGGACAAUGGGCGAAAGCCUGAUCCAGCCAUGCCGCGUGUGUGAAGAAGGCCUUCGGGUUGUAAAGCACUUUCAGUGGGGAAGAAAGCCUUGGGGCUAAUACCCUCGAGGAAGGACAUCACCCACAGAAGAAGCACCGGCUAACUCCGUGCCAGCAGCCGCGGUAAUACGGAGGGUGCGAGCGUUAAUCGGAAUUACUGGGCGUAAAGCGCGCGUAGGCGGUCUGAUAAGCCGGUUGUGAAAGCCCCGGGCUCAACCUGGGAACGGCAUCCGGAACUGUCAGGCUAGAGUGCAGGGGAGGAAGGUAGAAGUCCCGGUGUAGCGGUGAAAUGCGUAGAGAUCGGGAGGAAUACCAGUGGCGAAGGCGGCCUUCUGGACUGACACUGACGCUGAGGUGCGAAAGCGUGGGUAGCAAACAGGAUUAGAGACCCUGGUAGUC
rnacentral:rRNA from 1 species